UACGUAGGUGGCAAGCGUUGUCCGGAAUCAUUGGGCGUAAAGAGCGCGUAGGCGGCCCCAGUAAGUCCGCUCUGAAAGUCAGGGGCUCAACCCCUGAAUGCGGGUGGAUACUGCUGGGCUAGAGUCCGGAAGAGGCGACUGGAAUUCAUGGUGUAGCAGUGAAAUGCGUAGAGAUCAUGAGGAAGACCAGUGGGCGAAGGCGGGUCUCUGGACAGUUCCUGACACUGAGACACGAAGGCCAGGGGGAGCAAAACGGG
rnacentral:rRNA from 1 species